UGGGGAAUAUUGGACAAUGGGCGAAAGCCUGAUCCAGCCAUGCCGCGUGUGUGAAGAAGGUCUUCGGAUUGUAAAGCACUUUAAGUUGGGAGGAAGGGCAGUAAGCGAAUACCUUGCUGUUUUUACGUUACCGACAGAAUAAGCACCGGCUAACUCUGUGCCAGCAGCCGCGGUAAUACAGAGGGUGCAAGCGUUAAUCGGAAUUACUGGGCGUAAAGCGCGCGUAGGUGGUUCGUUAAGUUGAAUGUGAAAGCCCCGGGCUCAACCUGGGAACUGCAUCCAAAACUGGCGGGCUAGAGUAGGGCAGAGGGUGGUGGAAUUUCCUGUGUAGCGGUGAAAUGCGUAGAUAUAGGAUAGAACACCAGUGGCGAAGGCGACCACCUGGGCUCAUACUGACACUGAGGUGCGAAAGCGUGGGGAGCAAACAGG
rnacentral:rRNA from 1 species